CGUAGUCUGAAUUGACCAGUAAUGGUCUAGUGUAUAUUUACGUUCACUGUGAACAAAUCAGGACGCUUAGAGUAUGGUUACAGGAAUGACUCAGCGCAGUAUGAUAUCUUUGUUUUUUUCGGAAAACAAGCUCAAAGAGAGCCAUCGGGGGUAGAUCUAUCCCAUGACGAGUGGUGGAAUACGGUGACUCAUGGGAGAGAAUCGGAGGCGAAGGCGUCUACCUAGAGGGUUUCUGUCGAUCAAGGGCGAGAGUAGGAGUAUCCAACAGGAUUAGAGACCCUGGUAGUUCCUACUGUAAACGAUGCCGACAGGAGUUUGUCAUUUGCUAAUGGCAGAAUCUUUAGAGAAAUCAUAGUUCUUGGGCUCUGGGGGAACUACGACCGCAAGGCUGAAACUUGAAGGAAUUGACGGAAGGGCACACCAGGGGUGGAGCCUGUGGCUUAAUUUGAAUCAACACGGGGAAACUUACCAGGACCAGAUUUUUUUUAUGACUGACAGGCUUAAGGUCUUUCAGGAUAUGAUUUUUGGUGGUGCAUGGCCGUUGGUGGUG
rnacentral:rRNA from 1 species